UUUUUAAAAUGGGGCCUUUCUCCAGUUUAUUUUGCCCAAUAAAAAUCCUUCACAGUCAGGUGGAGAGAGGAGAGAUACGUAUACAUAUAGAUCUUCGUAUAUAUUUAUAUAUAUACAUACCUCUGUACAGAUAUAUAUUCACCGUAGAAAAUCGCAAAGGCAGUAGCUCUUCACACCUUGAGAACCCAAUGGAAACAUACAACAGACCAGCAGUAGAUGGGGAGAUGUGGGGUGGUUUUCACGAGAAUUCCCAAAACAGAUACACCUUUGCUGUACAAAAAUCCCGGAACGCUGCGUUUUGAUCCCUUUUCUUUAUCAACCUCUUUUCUUUAAACACCAGAGGUGAAGUCAAGACAACGGUGUUUGGAAGUGACCAGUGGAUAGGAGAGACACCCAACUUUAUGAACCUCUUUUAAAUAUUUAAUUUUUAAAGUAUAUAUAUAUAUUUAUAUUCUUUUUAUUGUUUUUAUCUUCAUUUCUUUUUGCAAAGUCUCAUUAAACGCAGUUCGGAGACCCAGCAACAGUCAACGCAGAAACAAAACAGUAACAGAGUCUAGAUCAGAACACUUCUGGUUUGGAAUUCACAGUAAGAGCAGAAAGAGAGACCAAAGGCGUCAAGAAACGGACAAGAGGAAAGAAAGCACAAGGCUGGGCUUGAAUUUACAGUUGGGUAGGUCCAAAGUAGUUGGACCAAGGGUCUAAUGCGGAAGGUCCUACACACAGACACAGCCUGCAGCUCACCCGGUGGUGGAGCAGCAAUGGAGAGCUCUGCCUGCUCCUCCGUGGGGCUUUUAUUGCUGGUGAAAUCAGACAGCAGGCUUGCUCGGGGGGCCCUGGGUGGCCCAACCUGACGUUCUCCCAUCAGGGAGCUGGGUUUUGGGGAUGGACACCUACUGACCUGCUGAAGAACAGACGCAGAAGACGGGUGACUAAGUGACGUGCAUCGGUUUAGGAGGAGGAAACCCUCACAAGCGUACUGCCUGGGGCAAGGCAAAGACCAAGAGGGUUUCCUCUCGGCUCACAGCGAUUACCAGGUCCGAGUGAGUGCAAACGAAGACACCUUGGAGGAGCUCCAGCCCUGGGCUGGGCUCUGCGGGGACACCGCUGCGUGGAAAGGGACUGCAUAGACACAUUGGCCGGUUGUGCAGCAUUUCAUUGCACCGGUGGUGGAACGCUUUUGGCACCGGUGGUGGAGCUCUGCCUGCAUGUGUGUUGCUCCCUGCAGCCGCUGGAAGGGAACCCAAGUGCCACCUGAAUGGGAAAGGGGAUCUUCUCCUCCGAGAGAGGACAGCCUGGCUCUCAGGAAUGGCAGAGCCAAUGCCAUGGUCUCCCGCUGGUGUCUGGUUGUCACCAAAUGUAACUGGGUGCUCAGACACCCCAGGGGACCCAGCGGCUCCCACAUGGGUGAGCUAAUGGAGAAGACCCAGUAACAGUAAUGGGAUGGGCACCGGAGGGGGAUGGAGCACACCUCCUGUGGACCCAGACUGGUGGCCUGCUGGAUAUGGGCAGCUUUGGGCUCUCCGGAAGAAUGGGGACCACCAAGCUCAAACCAUUGGUGAUUAUUUGGAGCCAGAUUGGACUUUGCACCCCUUUCCCAAGGAGAGCCCAGGGCUAGAGCUAUGAAGGUAUUCAAAAGAACAUUGGUUUGCCUGCAGGUAUCAGAGUUGGGAAUAGUCCCUUUAGAAUCCCUCUAGAAAAACCUAUUGCUUUGUGACAGAAAGCGGAGACCUUCUGCCUGAGGAAACACAUCUGUGGAAGAGCUGUGAAGACACAACCCUGUGUGCCAGAGCUUGUCCCAGGCUCCAGACCUGACACCAUCCCCUUCAUCAGGAGAACCAGUGAGGAGGCUUAUCCUGAACAUGCAAAAGCUCAUGUCUGGUGUUGCCAGCAUGGAACAUCCUUUUGGGAAGCAAACAACUGCGAACAGCUGGAUGUGAUCCCAACCCCUUGAUACACUGGGUGCUGUGUGCCCCUGCAGAGCAGGGAUGCUCAUACACCCCUCACAUCCCUGUCUUUCCAGAGGGGGGAAGGACCAGGGAAGCCCCAGAGCUGGCUGGCUGUGCUGUUGCGAUGGUGUGAAGCCCCAUGCAAUGAUCCCAAGUGGUUUCAAGCCAUGGAGAUGUCCUUCAGCAAGUAGCAAGAUUGAUCUUGGAAGUAAAGCAGAGCCGAUUUAGCUGGGAAUGGGAAUGACAUGAGAGAAGAGGUGAGGAUCAGUGGUCUAGAAAGCUCUGCUGAGGUCAGGGUUGGGACACACCAUUAUCAGUAGAGGCUUUGCCUUCAGCUCCAGCUUGUUCAGAUGUGUCUGGGAGAGGCACUGACUGCUCCUGGGACAACAGGGAUGGUGAUGGUCUGAAAGGAGGCAGGAGAGCUGGGGCAGAGGACUAGCAGGGCAAAGGCAACAUGAUGAGCAGGUCUUUAGCAAGGGGUCUGGAUGAAAAGUGACUCUGUAAAGUGGCUUUCAAGGCUUAGAUUGAGGGGUUGGGUUAAAAUAAUGGCAAGUUGGACCUGCUC
ensembl:lncRNA